rnacentral:rRNA from 1 species
UACGUAGGGUGCAAGCGUUAAUCGGAAUUACUGGGCGUAAAGCGUGCGCAGGCGGUUUGCUAAGACCGAUGUGAAAUCCCCGGGCUUAACCUGGGAAUGGCAUUUGGGACUGCAAGGCUUGAGUGCGGCAGAGGAGACUGGAAUUCCUGGUGUAGCAGUGAAAUGCGUAGAUAUCAGGAGGAAUACCGAUGGCGAAGGCAGGUCUCUGGGCUGACACUGACGCUCAUGCACGAAAGCGUGGGGAGCAAACAGG